rnacentral:tRNA from 1 species
UAUGUAACUGAAUAUCCUUUAUAAUCACGCUGCUUUGGGAGCAGGGGGUCGUGGGUUCGAAUCCCGCUACCCCGA